rnacentral:lncRNA from 1 species
GCCUUUCCUAAUCAGACCCGGAAUCCGAACAAGAAGCGGACUCGAUAAACGAAACGCGGUUGAAGGAAGACAUUGUUGGAACUAUUUUUUGAACAUUAUGAAUAAUGUAUUCAUAUGUCAAAAAAGAAGUUUUAUUCGAAUGAGAAAUGGAGGUCUAAUGUGUGUAAUUUGAGAAACUUGUAUAAAGUAGCAAAUACACACAUUGGAUAUUUGAACUUGGAUUUGGGUUUUUUGAUUUGUUAGUUGGACUUCAUGUUCAUUGACUUAAUCUUAUAAACCAAAUAUAUGUUGAUCUUUUGUAUUGAUAAAAUAUAAAAAAGAAAUUCAUUUAAAGUAUAUUAUUUAGUUUGAAUUGGUCAAACAAAAAAUAAUUUUACUCUUGAUUUCUUGGUCAAAAUGUGGAAUAAAUUCACAUACUAAUGACAAGAAUUAAAACUCCAUUAGUGCACCAUGGAGGUUUCAUUUUUUGUUGAAAAAUGAAACUUGUGCUUCUCAUUAUUUUUCUAUAAAAGGCUUGGUAGCAUUUAGAAAACACACACAUUCAUACAAUCAAGAACAUUUCUCCCACUCAGAAUAGUUAUGCUAGUAUUUUUUAUUCUUUUGAGUCUGAGAGUACAUCACAGAAAUAGGUUCGAUAGAUUCUGUUUUUCGGUGAUGGUAAACAGAAACAAUGCUGCAGUUGUAUCUUGGGAAUCUGAGCGCCAUAAAACCGUCACACUACGGGGCGUUUAAAGAUUUAAGGAAAGAGAUUAACUAUCUCGACUCUGCAAUUCUUCUUUAUUUUUAUAUUUUGGUAUUGAAAUUUUAGUUUAUGUUCUUAUUAUUCUUUACAAAUAUCAGUUGUCCUAUGGUAGUAAAAUAAGGUUCCUACACUCUUAAAUCUUUAAAUAUUGUUUAUGCUUUUGCACUAACAAUACUGAUAUUUGUUAAAAGUUAUUGUUUUUUUUAAGAACAGGUUAAUCGACUGUCUCGAAACAAAAUCUGGAUUUGUGUUUUCUUCAACCAGCUUUUGAGAUUGUGUAAAGCUUGUGUUCUUGAGCUAACAUUAUUUUUUGCAGGAUCGGUUGAAUUAUUUAAAAUAAUUCUCCUGCACUUACGUGUUUCGGUUGUGAUUUGCAUGAUUUAUUGGUUAUUAGUUUUAUUCCUGUUCAGUCAAUAGCAGUGAUCGAUCUUGUUUUCAGCACUAAUGAUAGUAACACUGGUUUAAGUUUUAUGAAACUAGUCAACAGGUGCUGAUCGUGGGUUCUAGCAAUCGAACGGGAAGAUAAAUUGCAGGUUGUGGUGUUUGAUUAUUGAUUAUAUUAAAUUGCAAAAUUUGAUGAUUUAAAAAAAAUUAUGUCAGUUUUUUAUCAUUUUCAAUAUGUUUUUUGAAAAUAAAAAGAGAAAAAAAAAACUGAUGUAGAUUUUAUAUCCAACCGUUACAAAUUGCAAAGGAAAAAGGUUUAUUGCUUUUGGUCAAAGAUAUGUUUUAACUAUUGAUAUUUAAUUAGUAAAACAAUAUGUGGAAUAAAACGUUUUUCUGGAUUACUUAUUGUGGAGUUGUUGUUUAAACUUUAUUAGUCAUAUGUUUGGUAUUGAGUAGUAUAUUAAUCUGGGUUUGGUUUCUAGUGAACAAACCCAUAUUUCAAUAUAGCUAAACCAAAGUGAUUAAUAAAAUCUCGAUUUUUAAGAGAUCGAAUGAUAUAUAUAUGGAAAUGGAUUUAGUGAGUCGACGCCCCAAAUUAAGUUUGGGAGAGGUCUGCCACAUAUAAAUCAUUUGCCAUAGGAAAUAAAAUGUUUGUUGAUAUUGGUCAUAAACAUUUAUAUUUCAUCAAUGCUUAAAUGCAAGUUACAAGAAGAUUGACCAUGCAAAAACAAUGAUAAUUUUCAGACCAAUAUGACUGAAACUGACAUGUGUAUUGUAGUUUAUAAAGUCAAUAUGGUUGAAAAUAAUCAUAUAUAAUGGUGUUUUGAUGGCACAAAUAAUAUCUUGUGUAUAUUUGUUAAAAAAGCAAAAUAUGUGUUUGGAAAAGAUCCAAAACAUACAAGUUAGAUUUAUAAAUCAACUUGAGAGAACUAUGAAAAUAGUUGUAUGUAAAAUGUGAAUUUCUAAGAAUGAAACACAUUUUUUCAAGAAAAUUGUAAUAAUUUUUGAAAUUGCUUUUAAUUCAUUUAAAUCUAAAGGAGUUGUAGAUUAAUUUUCUAAACUCUUAAGAGAUGUUAAAUGUAAUUAUGCAUGUUUUGAGCUAUCUCAAGAAAUGUGGGGGAAGCUUUGCUUACCAUAUAAAGUCGUUGGCAAGAGGUCAUAUGAACUUAGUGAUAGUUAUCACAAUAUAAUUUUUUUUAUUAAAAAAAAAAACAAGCUAGUGUCAUACACUGAGUUUUGUGUAUAAUGGUUAAUUGUAUCUUGAAUAAAAGAUGACAAAAAUCAUUAGACAAUUGAUCUCCACUAAUCUCAAGAGAUUAUGUUCACUAUGGUGACAACCUAGGAUCCUUUAAUUAAAGGUGUGUCAUGAGAUCAAAUUGUUAUAUCAUCAAAAGGAAUGGGUCGCCUGUGAAUUAAGAUGAGGUUUCGCGGUAACUCUACCUAACUGACUGGAUAUCCCAAAAAAUAGGUUCAAGGAGACAACUAAGUGAAACUAAGUCUGUCCAAAGCACUGUAAGACUUCGGUCUAUACCCAGUUCCUAUGAUGAUUAAACAGUGCUACAUGUAAAGAAUACAGGAUAAGCAUUAGCUUUUAAUGAUUUGUGUCCAUAGCUUUGAGAUAUGAAUGGAGUAGUACAUGAUACUCCUCUAAACAAAGUUAAUGGCAAAUCACCUUGUGAGUGUGAAAUGGGGCCGUUUCUAGGAGAAUGAAGGAAAGACUAUAUUCUCCAAGUUCACUCAUGAUUAACCAAGACUGUUCACGGCCAAAAUGAACACAAUAGAGAACCUAGUUCUGUGAGAGAAUGAAGCUGUGUUAUGGCUAUUGUCUAGGUUUACACCAAAGCCCGGGAGGUUCAAGACAUCAUGGCCACCUCCUGGCCGAGUAAAUCCGAUAGCUAUUAACAAUGACUGGUUCAAGGCUGAAAAAUUGCUACCAACUCAUCAUGCAGUGGAUUUUUCGUUUGUACUCUCAAAAGUCCUUAGUUAGGUCUUGUCGAGUCUUGCUAGGAAGUUGAGUCUUGUCUAGAAAGUCUGUCGAGUUGUCUAGUGUCUAGAGUCAUUUCUAUUCAUGUGGGGGAUUGUUGGAACUAUUUUUUGAACAUUAUGAAUAAUGUAUUCAUAUGUCAAAAAAGAAGUUUUAUUUGAAUGACAAAUGGAGGUCUAAUGUGUGUGAUUUGAGAAACUUGUAUAAAGUAGCAAAUACACACAUUGGAUAUUUGAACUUGGAUUUGGGUUUUUUGAUUUGUUAGUUGGACUUCAUGUUCAUUGACUUAAUCUUAUAAACCAAAUAUAUGUUGAUCUUUUGUAUUGAUAAAAUAUAAAAAAGAAAUCCAUUUAAAGUAUAUUAUUUAGUUUGAAUUGGUCAAACAAAAAAUAAUUUUACUCUUGAUUUCUUGGUCAAAAUGUGGAAUAAAUUCACAUACUAAUUGACAAGAAUUAAAACUCCAUUAGUGCACCAUGGAGGUUUCAUUUUUUUGUUGAAAAAUGAAACUUAUGCUUCUCAUUAUUUUUCUAUAAAAAGGCUUGGUAGCAUUAUAGAAAACACACACAUUCAUACAAUCAAGAACAUUUCUCCCACUCAGAAUAGUUAUGCUAGUAUUUUUUAUUCUUUUGAGUCUGAGAGUACAUCACAGAAAUAGGUUCGAUAGAUUCUGUUUUUCGGUGAUGGUAAACAGAAACAAUGCUGCAGUUGUAUCUUGGGAAUCUGAGCGCCAUAAAACCGUCACACUACGGGGCGUUUAAAGAUUUAAGGAAAGAGAUUAACUAUCUCGACUCUGCAAUUCUUCUUUAUUUUUAUAUUUUGGUAUUGAAAUUUUAGUUUAUGUUCUUAUUAUUCUUUACAAAUAUCAGUUGUCCUAUGGUAGUAAAAUAAGGUUCCUACAGACAUAACGAAACAAGAGGGCCUAACAUUAUGAACAACAACGCCUUGGGAGUGAGCUGCAUUCACAAUCUCAACGAUUUGUCUGAAAACAUGAAAACACUCGAACGCAUCCACCGAUCGUUCUGGGUUGUCUAACCACUGACGCAAGCUAACGUCUUCGCAUUUCAAAGCUCUCACAAUAUUAUCAGCUCUCAAGUUUUCUUCUUUGUGUGAGCCAAGUAAGCUUCUAACA